rnacentral:lncRNA from 1 species
UCCUUUCUUUGAUGAAUGCAUAGCUGCCACGNUAGUAAACUUUGGAGAAAAGAAUUUUAUUUAUUCAAUUGAAUUGGUGUGAGAAGGAGGUCACGGCAAGGGGGGACUUCUUAGAAGUGUUUUCAUUUUCCAAUUGCUCUUGAGAAGUGAAGUCCGAUGUUGGGUUUUCGGAGAAAUGAGGAAGUCAUUUUCUUUACUUAAAAACCAAGGGAAGUCACAUGAUUUGGUAGAGAAAAAUUAGAUUUGCUUAUUUCUUUUGCUUUAAAUUAUUUUGCAUUGUAUUUAGAGUUGUUUUUCAUUUUGUUAAUUUAGUGUGCAUUUUAAUACUUUUAAUUGUGCUUAGAUAUUUAUUUGCUCUAGUUUUGGGCUUAGCAUUUUCCCUCCCUUUGAUGCUUUCUAUGAUGUUCGAACGUGUUAUGUCUUUUUUUUUUAUUUAUUCCGUCAGUUGCAUUCACAUAACCACUUUUCACCAAAACCCCCACUGUGUGUUAGACCUAAUUCUCGAACCACAUUUGGUCCUUGAGAGACAACCUAGGAGUCACUUCCUAACUAUACUGCAUUUCUCAUAUGCAAUCAAAUUUGUAUGGGCCGCGACAACCCAUCAAAUUUUGGCGCCAUUGCCGGGGACCAAAGGUUCGGUUUUAGGUCUUUUAGUGUGUUAAUGUGUGUUGUGUUUUGUCUCGUGUUGUGAGUGUGAUGUUCUGUUUUGUGUGUUCGUCAUUGUGUAUUGCAUUUAGGUAGCUUUAGUUGCAUAUUUUCAUUACAUUCUUCUUUCCCUCUUUCUUUCUACAUGUCUACCUAUUUUGAUUUUGUGAAUACUGCUUCUUCUACCUGUGUUUAUGAUUAUGAUUCUCCUUCUGGAUCUAACUCCGAUAUUGCUUCUCAUGCAUAUUCUGUUGACUUUUAUGUUGAGCACAAUAUGACUCAUCUUCCCAUUCUUGAGAGUGGUCCUAGGGAGCUAGCUUCACUUAAUGAGGAUGAUGUUCAUUGCGUUCUCACCUCUGGACUGAUACAUUUGCUACCUAAGUUUCACGGUUUUGCAGGUGAAUGCCCACGUAAACAUUUGGAGGAGUUCCACACCAUUUGGUCUUCAAUGAAACCUCCUCAUGUCCCUGAUGAUCACAUGUUUUUAAGGGUAUUUCCGUAUUCAUUACAAGGUGCAGCAAGGGAUUGACUUUAUGGUCUUCCUCCGGGAUCCAUUACUUCUUGGGAAGAUCUUAAGCACUUGUUCUUGGACGAAUUCUUCCCGACUCAGUAUGGUUACAACAACGAUCCUGAUUGGAAUGACCCUAGGUUGGGAUGGUAUGACGCUCCACAGCAAUAUCAAUCAACUCAGAAUACUUUUAUGCCUCCACCAGUUCAGCAAUACUAGAGUCAGCAGUAUGAUGCUCCUGCCCAAAUAGCUCCUUAACCUUCUAUUACUGAGCCCACAUUGAAGGAGUUGUUCAGACAGAUGACUGCUCAGAAUAAGCAGUUUCAGCAGGAAACUAAAGCUCGGUAUCAACAGUUUCAGUAGGAAUUAGCUUCCAUGCAGAGUUUGAGUGAUCAGCUGGGGCAGAUGGCCACUCAGUUCAUUGAGGAACAGUCUCAGGUUUCAGAGGGAUCACCAUUUCAGACUGUUUAGAUUCUUGAUGAUGUCAGUGCCAUUCACAUAGGAGAUGGGGAGCAGAGUCAUGAGCUUACUACUGCGCCAUCUACUUUCCCACCCUCCUAUGUCCCCACUGUUGCACCUGAGGAGACUGAUGAAGAAUUGGAGGAACAGGCACAUAUGAGCAACACCUUUGAGAUAGGUAGACCACUGUCAUCUUCCACCACUCUACCAAUUUUCAGGGAAGUGGAGGUAAACAUACAUAUGAUUGAUUUUGUUGUUGAUGAUUGUGUUAUAGAUAGGUAUGUUGAUGAUUAUGAUGUUGAUGAGCAUGCUUUUAGUUCUCCCUCUUUGCAUGAUGAGAAACAACUUUUGCCAUCUUGUCUGAAUGUUUGUUCUCCAUGCAUUGAACAUGAAUCUGAGCAUGUUGUUGAUAUUGUUUCUACAUUUGAAUUUGAUUCAUGUCCUGAGGGUAUAUCUGAGGGUCAGCUUGUUACAUUGGGAUUGGGUGUUAUACCCCUGCAUGUCAUUUUUUUGGAAGCAUAUUGCACUAACUAUGUUGCAGGAGGUACACAUGAAGUUGACCAACACAAGCCCACGGUGGAAGACAAGUGUGCCAGUAUACACAAUAGUUUGAAGAUUAAUAGGCACCAGCUGAACCCAUUCAUCAACAAUCACUUCUUAGAUCUAGCUGUGGAGGACAUCUCCCUGCUUGAUCAAAUCUGGAGACUGAAGUAGUUACUCCUCAAGACUUCCUUGCUGACUCAAGUGGUGGAGAACAUCUCCCUGAUAGUCCAGAAUUGGCAACUGCCACCAUGACCAGGGGAGUUUUCCUCUUCCCUUCUCCUCCUUUCCCACUUGUAUUGCACUCGUCCAUGAUCUGUUGACUGUUUUGAUUCAUGAUUUGAUGCUUGUGACACAUUGAGAACACUGUGUAGUUCAAGUGUGGUCUAUUGGGGGAGACUCUGAUUUUUCUUUGUUAGUUUAUGUUUUCUGCGCUACCUGAUUUUUCUUUGUUAGUUUAUGUUUUCUGCAUUAAAUUUUUUGUUUUCUAGGUAGCUUUUGUUGUGUCUUGUGUACAGUUUUGCAUGUUUCUCUUGAUUUCUGGACUUUGUUUAGGUUGUAGACUUGUCCUUCAUUUUAUUGAUACUCUGAUUUGUUGAAAUCCUUGCUUUUCUUUGCUUGGAAGAUGAUUAUGAUGUUUGAGAGAGUUGAUUUGAUUGUGACAGAAAUACCCUGUGUGAGAAUUUGACCCACUUGAUAUUCUUUCUUGUGUGUGAUAUGUCUCUUGAUUUCUUGCACAUAUGCUUUGGCUUGACUCUUUUUGAUGAUUCUUGAUUAAUAUGCAUGUUUGAAAGUGAUUAAGGCAGUUUUGUUGUUGAACCUCUCUAGCCAGAUGAGCCUACCCUGUUUUGAUCCUUUGAUAGCCCCUUUGAGCCUAUGCUUUCCCCAUUUCUUUAUUUUGAAGCUCAUACACUAGCCCUAUGUGAAAAACCAUGUUUACCUUAACCUUUGGGAAUUUUGGAGCUUUAAAAUUGUUUUGGGAAUAAGUGUGGUCUCUUGGGAUAUUCAAAUGAAUUGGUUAGUUGGCUCCUUUUCUUGUUUUGUUUUGUAAAUAUGUUGUGUAUCUUGUCUCUUAGAGUUGUGCUCUGGAAAGAGAGAAAAGAAAAGAGACAAGAUGGAAAAAAAAAGGAAAAAAUACAGAAAAAUGAGAAAAAUUAAAAAAAAUUGUUUUGUGAAUAAUGGAGUCAAGAAGAGGAUUGAAUUAGAGGUUUAGGUGUGUUUGACUGUGUUUACACUUAUUCCCCAUUCCUCCUCUAUUUCUUUUGGUUUAUAGCUUCUCAUCCAUAUUAUAUCCUCCCUUUUCCUUGGCCCCAUUGCAUCCAUAAAAGACCUUUUGAUUUGAACAUGCAUAUGUUUUUUAGUGUUGAUAUUAGAGGCUUGCCAAGUCUGUUUGUGUUUGCUUUCUUGAGUGGAUUGAGUUGACAUUGUUUACCUUAGACACUUGAGAGAAACACUGAUAGUGCAUCUGUGAGGCUCUGUUGUUUUUGAUUCACCUCUUGAACUGAUUGAUUAUUUUGCCAUGCUUGGAAUUGCUUGGAUGAUUUCUUGAGUACCUAUUUUCUUUGAUUCUGUGUGGAUACUGUCUACUACUUUUCCUUGUCCAGAUUUCUACAAGACUGUAAUUCUGUCUGCUGAGUCUGUGUCAAUUCCCUGAUGUCCGUUGAAUUAUUCCCUAUUUUGCGUCUUGAUUUUGCCCAGGAGUGCAAAAGACUAAGUGUGGUCUAUUUUGAUGAGUCGAUAUUUUAUUGAUUUCACUAAGUUUAUUGUGCUAAAAUUAAUCAGGGAAUUGUGCUUAAUUGUCCGGUACUUUCCCGUUUUUCCUAAUUAUGCUUAAUUUGACAAGAAAUUCUAAUUUUGAUUAAUUUGAAUUUUCUGAGCUAAUUAUUUGCAUUAUUAUUUUCAGGGAAAAUUUUGGAAACACAAUUUGGGACAUUUGGAGGACACCAAAUAAAUUCAAGACUCUCCAUUUAGACAUUUUAAAUUUUAGUUGUAUUGUAAUUUUAAUUGUUUAAACUUUUUAGACAAGCUUGUGCACAUUGGGCCAAUUUUUGACAAAAACAUGGUGGGCCCAAAUAGUAAAAAGACACUUGGCAACUUUACGGUUUUUAGGGUGGACCCGACCCUAAUUUUUAAGGGCACAUAGCCCUUAGAAAAUGGCACCAGCCGUCACACUUGGGGACUCUCGGCAGACUCACUCUUGGUUGUAGGGAACGUUUUUUUUUUUUUUUGGCAUAAUUUCUUUUGCUUGAAACAUGUUUAACCUUUUGGACUUUGGUUGAAUGAAAAAUGGGGCAUCCAAUCGCCACUUGCUUUUAAAUCUCCACCAAUUGCUUUUAAUUUUUCUUUACUAAACAUCCAAGCCACCACUCACAUAAAAAAAUGAGCACACUAUCGACAGAUUGAGGGGAGAGCUGGAACGUUUGAAGAUUUUUGCUUGGUUUGGAACAUGUGGUUCACGGUUAUUGGAAUUGGAUGAGCACAAUUACUUUUCCUUUUUAUUUUUGUAAGAAAACGUUGGAUGUUGGUGAUAAGAGGACUUCAUAUUUUAUUUUGCUUGAACGUUUUCUUUGGGAAUGAAGGUUGUUCGUUGCUUUGGUAGGAAAGUAUUUUUAUUUUUGUUUGGUUUAAAUGAAAAGUAGAUUAGGUCGGGUCUAUGAUGAUGGGAUGUUACAAUAGUUGGCAGCUCCUUAGGUGGAUAGUUUUCUUUUAUUUAAUUGAUGAAUGAAGAAAGGAUUUGAUGGGAGUUAGUGGGAAGUUAUGUCCAGGAGAGGAGACAUAAAGGCACGGUAUUGGUAAGCUUUUGGAAGCAAUUUCAUUUUGGCUUUUAGAAAUAGGAAGAAUUUUUAGUUUUAACUGAAUGAUGAGUUGAUUUGAUGGAAGAGCAUUUGGUGCAGCACGUUACAGCAUGAAGGUUUGGUUCCCUUUCUUUGUUUUGGAAGUCAUGUAUAUUUCAAUUAAAAAGUACAUUAAUUCACUUUAGAAAAAGUUUGUAGCUAGAGAUGAUGGGCACCGGUUGGAAGAGUUUUGGAAUGAAUGAUAAUUCUUGGUUUUCAAUGUGCAUUGUUACCUUUUCAUAAAUCCUAUCCAUUUCAUUACUAUUCAUGUGUCCUUUCUUGUACUUGUGAUAACCAUCAUUUAUUAGCUUUAGGAUGCCUUUUACAUCCUUUCUUUGAUGAAUGCAUAGCUGCCACGGUAGUAAACUUUGGAGAAAAGAAUUUUUUUUAUUCAAUAGAAUUGGUGUGAGAAGGAGGUCACGGCAAGGGAGGACUUCUUAGAUGUGUUUUCAUUUUCCAAUUUCUCUUGAGAAGUGAAGUCCGAUGUUGGGUUUUAGGAGAAAUGAGGAAGUCAUUUUCUUUACUUUAAAAGCAAGGGAGGUCAUGUGAUUUGGUAGAGAAAAAUUAGAUUUGCUUAUUUCUUUUGCUUUUAAUUAUUUUGCAUUGUAUUUAGAGUUGUUUUUCAUUUUCUUAAUUUAGUGUGUAUUUUAAUAGUUUUAAUUGUGCUUAGAUAUUUGCUUGCUCUAGUUUUGGGCUUAGCAUUUUCACUCUCUUUGAUGCUUUCUAUGAUGUUCGAAUGUGAUAUAUCUUUUUUUUUUUAUUUAUUCUGUCAGUUGCAUUCACAUAACCACUUUUCACCAAAACCCCCACUGUGUGUUAGACCUAAUUCUCGAACCACAUUUGGUCCUUGAGAGGUGACCUAGGAGUCACUUCCUAGCUAUACUGCAUUUCUCAUAUGCAAUCAAAUUUGUAUGGGCCGCGACAGCCCAUCACACUACUUUUUCUUUCUCCUCAUCUUUCUCUCCCUCACGCAACCUUUCUGUUUCUUAUUCUUGUAUCUUUUCCUCCUCUAUCUUCUCCUCCUUUCUCUCCAUUUUUAUCUCCUCUAACUUCUCUUCCUAUAUCUCUAUCUUUCCUUCCUCUAUCUCCUCCUUCUUUCUCUCCAUUCUUUUCUCCUCUAUCUUCUCUUCAUAUAUCUCUAUCUUUUCCUCCUCUACCAUCUCCUCAUCAACAACCUUAUCACUUUCAGAGAUAGUGGCUUGACAUUCCUCCCUAAUGUUAACUUUAGUACUAACCCUAGAAUCAUUCAGAGAUGCAGUCACGCAAUCUAAUUCUAUCUCCUUCCCUUUACAUCUUGCGUCAUCACAUUCUAAAAAGUAAAUAAUAUUCUGCAGUACUUGUUGGAAUGUCUCUUCACGGCUUUCUGAUGGAGAUAAUUGCUGCCAAUGUUGUUUUUCUUCCUCCAGCCAACGUUGUUCAGCUUCC